rnacentral:lncRNA from 1 species
GGAACUUGAAUACUGUAAAUUUUCUAAGCAGCAGAGAGAGCAUAAGGACCAGAAAGCAGAGCUGUCGCACACUGACUCACUGCUUGUUUGAACUGUCUUUAGCCACUUACAGGAGCCUGACAGACUUCUUCCUUUUCAAGCUACACCAGGUGUGUUCUUGUGGCAAGUUUUUUGGCAAAGAUAUUCCUAAGAGAAACAUCCUCUAGCAUGAACCAAGCUUCUUCAGGAAGGAAGGGGGCAGGGGAGAUGCUUCCUGGAAAAUCCAGUCAGUAGAAAAGGGAAAUGGUCUGCAACAUCUGCAUUAAUUUUGAGGAGAA